UACGGGGGGGGCAAGCGUUGUUCGGAAUUACUGGGCGUAAAGGGCUCGUAGGUGGCCAUGUAAGUCCGCUGUGAAAGUCAAAGGCUCAACCUUUGAAAGCCGGUGGAUACUGCAUGGCUAGAGUACGGAAGAGGCGAGUGGAAUUCCUGGUGUAGCGGUGAAAUGCGCAGAUAUCAGGAGGAACACCGAUGGCGAAGGCAGGUCUCUGGGCAUUAACUGACGCUGAGGAGCGAAAGCAUGGGGAGCGAACAGG
rnacentral:rRNA from 1 species